GGUAGGGUACCGAAGCGGCCAACCGGGGCAGACUGUAAAUCUGCUGGCGAAUGCCUUCCUUGGUUCGAAUCCAAGCCCUACCACCA
rnacentral:tRNA from 1 species